rnacentral:rRNA from 1 species
GAGUUUGAUCAUGGCUCAGGACGAACGCUGGCGGCGUGCCUAACACAUGCAAGUCGAGCGAUGAAGCUCCUUCGGGAGUGGAUUAGCGGCGGACGGGUGAGUAACACGUGGGUAACCUGCCUCAUAGAGGGGAAUAGCCUCCCGAAAGGGAGAUUAAUACCGCAUAAUGUAUGAGAAUCGCAUGAUUUUUGUACCAAAGGAGCAAUCCGCUAUGAGAUGGACCCGCGGCGCAUUAGCUAGUUGGUAGGGUAAUGGCUUACCAAGGCAACGAUGGGUAGCCGACCUGAGAGGGUGAUCGGCCACAUUGGAACUGAGACACGGUCCAGACUCCUACGGGAGGCAGCAGUGGGGAAUAUUGCGCAAUGGGGGAAACCCUGACGCAGCAACGCCGCGUGGGUGAUGAAGGUUUUCGGA